UAGGGAAUCUUCGGCAAUGGGGGGAACCCUGACCGAGCAACGCCGCGUGAGUGAAGAAGGUUUUCGGAUCGUAAAGCUCUGUUGUUAAGGAAGAACGAGUGUGAGAAUGGAAAGUUCAUGCUGUGACGGUACUUAACCAGAAAGGGACGGCUAACUACGUGCCAGCAGCCGCGGUAAUACGUAGGUCCCGAGCGUUGUCCGGAUUUAUUGGGCGUAAAGCGAGCGCAGGCGGUUAGAAAAGUCUGAAGUGAAAGGCAGUGGCUCAACCAUUGUAGGCUUUGGAAACUGUUUAACUGGAGUGCAGAAGGGGAGAGUGGAAUUCCAUGUGUAGCAGUGAAAUGCGUAGAUAUAUGGAGGAACACCGGUGGCGAGAGCGGCUCUCUGGUCUGUAACUGACGCUGAGGCUCGAAAGCGUGGGGAGCGAACAGG
rnacentral:rRNA from 1 species